rnacentral:lncRNA from 1 species
GGAAGGCAUUGGGAAAGUCAAAAGGACACCAGAAAUAGUGAACUCAACAUUCAUUUGCACAUUUGACCAAGGCUGGAGCAGUGGAAAGAGAACUAUGCACAAGGAUGAGGAGAAUAAUUGUGACUGUGGGACAGGGCCCCAGGAGAGAGGUAUAGCAGACUGGCCUUGAAAAGCCUGCAGCUGCUUCAGGAAGGCAAAGCAUGCUUGGAAAAAAUGCUGACUGAAGUAAGGCAGAACCUGGAGGGUGGGUGGAUACUCCAUAACUGUAUUCAAAUUGGGCACUCUCUUGUUGUAAAGCCUUUGCAUAAGUGCAACUGAGAAAAUAUAUGGUAAAAAAAAAAAGUCUAUGUUCUGACCAGCUCGAGGAUGGGGGAAAAUCAUGCAUAAUAUGUGCAAACUAUGUGAAGAAAAGUACAAGUUAAUAUGAUCACAAAAAUAUUCAGAAA